UACGGAGGGGGCGAGCGUUAUUCAUCAUUAUUGGGCGUAAAGGGUAUGUAGGUGAUAGAAAACGGCAAGCAGAAAGGGCAAAUUUCCUGUUUGCUGUCGCUUAGCACGAUGCUCUAUUUGAAAAUAUUAAGGUUGGCAGAAUUACUAAUGUAGAAGUAAAAUAUUACCAUAUUAGUAGGAAUACCGCAGGCGCAGGCAGCCUCCCGAUACUUUUGACACUGAUGUACUAAAGCAUGGGGAUCAAACAGG
rnacentral:rRNA from 1 species